rnacentral:rRNA from 1 species
ACGCACUUCGGUGCAAUGUACGAGUGGCGAACGGGUGAGUAACACGUGAGAAACCUGCCUCGGAGACCGGGACAACCAUUGGAAACGAUGGCUAAUACCGGAUGUCCUCAUUUGAUCGCAUGAUCUUUUGAGGAAAUGAUCCGUCGCUCCGGGAGGGUCUCGCGGCCUAUCAGCUUGUUGGUGAGGUAAUGGCUCACCAAGGCAUCGACGGGUAGCUGGUCUGAGAGGACGAUCAGCCACACUGGGACUGAGACGCGGCCCAGACUCCUACGGGAGGCAGCAGUAGGGAAUCUUGCACAAUGGGCGAAAGCCUGAUGCAGCGACGCCGCGUGGGGGAUGAAGGCCUUCGGGUUGUAAACCCCUUUCAGUAGGGACGAAAAUGACGGUACCUACAGAAGAAGCUCCGGCCAACUACGUGCCAGCAGCCGCGGUAACACGUAGGGAGCAAGCGUUGUCCGGAUUUAUUGGGCGUAAAGAGCUCGUAGGUGGUUCGGUAAGUCGGAUGUGAAAACUCAAGGCUCAACCUUGAGACGCCAUCCGAUACUGCUGUGACUUGAGUUCGGUAGAGGAGUGUGGAAUUCCUGGUGUAGCGGUGAAAUGCGCAGAUAUCAGGAGGAACACCGACAGCGAAGGCAGCACUCUGGGCCGAUACUGACACUGAGGAGCGAAAGCAUGGGGAGCAAACAGGAUUAGAUACCCUA